GACGUAGGGCGCGAGCGUUGUCCGGAUUUAUUGGGCGUAAAGGGCUCGUAGGCGGUUUGUCGCGUCGGGAGUGAAAAACACCGGGCUUAACUCGGUGCUUGCUUUCGAUACGGGCAGACUGGAGGUAUGCAGGGGAGAACGGAAUUCCUGGUGUAGCGGUGAAAUGCGUAGAUAUCUGGAGGAACACCGGUGGCGAAGGCGGCAUCCUGGACCAACACUGACGCUGAGUGAGCGAAAGCCAGGGGAGCAAACGGG
rnacentral:rRNA from 1 species